rnacentral:tRNA from 1 species
GGGGUUGUGGCUCAGUGGUAGAGCACUUGCCUCAGAUACAUGAGGCUCAGGGUUCAAUCCUCAGCACCA